GAAGGCAUACCCGGAGAACUGAAACAUCUUAGUACCCGGAGGAAGAGAAAGAAAAUUCGAUUCCCUUAGUAGCGGCGAGCGAAACGGGAAGAGCCCAAACCAACAAGCUUGCUUGUUGGGGUUGUAGGACACUCUAUACGGAGUUACAAAGGACGACAUUAGACGAAUCAUCUGGAAAGUUGAAUCAAAGAAGGUAAUAAUCCUGUAGUCGAAAAUAUAUACUCUCUUGAGUGGAUCCUGAGUACGACGGAGCACGUGAAAUUCCGUCGGAAUCUGGGAGGACCAUCUCCUAAGGCUAAAUACUCUCUAGUGACCGAUAGUGAACCAGUAC
rnacentral:rRNA from 1 species